rnacentral:rRNA from 1 species
GAUGAACGCUGGCGGCGUGCUUAACACAUGCAAGUCGAACGAUGAAGCCCAGCUUGCUGGGUGGAUUAGUGGCGAACGGGUGAGUAACACGUGAGUAACCUGCCCUUAACUCUGGGAUAAGCCUGGGAAACUGGGUCUAAUACCGGAUAGGAGCGUCCACCGCAUGGUGGGUGUUGGAAAGAUUUAUCGGUUUUGGAUGGACUCGCGGCCUAUCAGCUUGUUGGUGAGGUAAUGGCUCACCAAGGCGACGACGGGUAGCCGGCCUGAGAGGGUGACCGGCCACACUGGGACUGAGAGACGGCCCAGACUCCAACGGGAGGCAGCAGUGGGGAAUAUUGCACAAUGGGCGCAAGCCUGAUGCAGCGACGCCGCGUGAGGGAUGACGGCCUUCGGGUUGUAAACCUCUUUCAGUAGGGAAGAAGCGAAAGUGACGGUACCUGCAGAAGAAGCACCGGCUAACUACGUG